AAUUGUUUGGAUAUCUUGUUAAUUUUCCAAUUUCUUUAUUAGUUUUAAAAUAUUGAGGAUGUUUUUUUAUGAAAAUACAAAUUUCUUUGAUAUAAAUACAUGCAAGAGGCAGGAUUCUCAAGUUUUUAAAAAGUUCUAAGCUUCUAGCGUGUUUUCUCCUCCGUUGAAAACUCAUGAUCACAACGUUCACAACAGUUAACAAUAAUAAAACAAGUAACAAAAUCACAAAACAAAACUUAACCAAAACAAAAACUUAAAAGAUAACCAGAUAUAUUUAACAAAAACAAUUAAUGAGAUAACCUCGAAAUCGCAUCAACGUCCGUCCGAAAGUUGAAAACUAUGGUUGACAACAUAUACAUCCUUCCUCUAUGGUUGACAAUGACAGUCGCACAUCAUUACAAGAUGGCGGCUUUUUUUUAAUUUUAGUUAUACCACUCACCGCCCGCGUCGCUGUCGUCUAUGCGUUUACAUGACAGUUUUGAGUGUGCCCCCCCUGGCCCCUGUUAUCUAAUUGAGUGAGUCUCAACAGAAUUAGUCCUUUUUAAAAGAAUAUGCCAUGCUAACUUCUUUGUAAAUUUAUUAAAAAUAAAAUAUUGAACACAUGAGAAAAUAUUAAAUUGCACCAAUGGCCUGUCUGAGUAGGUGUUAUGGUGGCAAUCCAACUUUCUUCUAUGAACAAGAUUAUAUGGGUAAAAUCCAAGUAAUUAUUGAACUCGAGUUCUAGUCAUCUACAAUCCACAUCUUAGUGCCAUAACACACUAGCGGAUUGCGAGCGGUUUCAAAGCGGAGCGGGUGCGCAACGAACACGCCGCGGAUGCGCAGCGAACACGCCGCGGACGCGCAACGAUUUCGCUGCGAAUAGAAGCGUCAACGUCAUUUUGUAUACUCUCGCACAAAAGCCAGCCCUUGCCUAAUAACUUCCAUUCAAUAUUUCCAUCGUUUCUGUAGCACUCCAUUUUUUAACCGUACUGUGGAAAUGCACUUACUUACAGUGCGACACAAAAGAGAUGACAAAAAAUGAGGGCGCCACCGUCGCUCAUAUAGCAACACUGAUACUGCGACGCAAGCAAUCUUGAUACUAUAGAAUAAAAAUCAAAAAAAUAAAAAGUAAUAAAUACCGCGA